GCGUCGGUGGUUCAGUGGAAGAAUACUCGCCUGCCACGCGGGUGGCCCGGGUUCGAUUCCCGGCUGACGCA
rfam:Tropilaelaps mercedesae isolate Wuxi-XJTLT scaffold0000010299, whole genome shotgun sequence.